UCACGUCAGGGAUUGUAGUGGAUAGCCCACAACGGGGGUACGGAGCGAGGACUUGUGACGAAAAGCCCGACCCUUA
rnacentral:misc_RNA from 1 species